CUAGGCCAAAACAGGACACUGGCGACGAAAUCUAGCGACGAAAAUAUGGUAUUUGCGACGAAAUAUCAAUAAUUGCGACGAAAAACAAUCGUCGCGAACGCUGCCAAAAAAUCGUCGCCAAAGCGGUCGUCGCUAAGCCUGCGACGAAUCUAUUUUUUCGUCGCAACAUAUGGCGACGAAUGCAUUUUUCGUCGUAAUAAUUCGUUUUUCUGGGUUAUUCGUUUUGUAGCAAAUAGCGACGAAAACAUAUUUCGUCGCAACUAUUUAUCCCUCAAUUCGCU
rnacentral:lncRNA from 1 species